rnacentral:lncRNA from 1 species
AGGGGUGCCAUGAAGUGAAAUAGGUAAAACAAGGGGAGAAAAAUGAUAAAUUUCUUGUUACUAUUAUUGAAAGUAAAACAAUGAUAUGACUUAGAUGUAGGAAGGUGAUCACUUUGUAAUACAUCUAUCUUUAAAAUAAGAGUAAAAACACCAUUAUGCCUUUUCCUUAAUGUGAUACGGAAACUGAGGAAAAGGACAUCAAUUCACAUAAAAACACAGAUCUCUGACUGGAGUAAAUACUCGUGUUUUCCUUGUAUGCAAUCCCUUUCUCUUCCUAACUUGUAAGAAGUGCAAUGCCUGCAAAUUCCAAUACCAUUCAUUCAAAGGAAAUAGCUAAUAGGUCUCAUCUGUUUAGCUAGAAAGCGUAUAACAGAUCCUUCAUAAGAAGACCACAGACAAUAGUUUGAGUGAAAAUUUAUGCAAAGUAACAGACUAGUAAUAGUUUUAUACCAGCAGGGCUUCAUGUCUCAUUAUUUUAUACAGACCACUAAUAGAGUUUAGUAUUAGAAUUUGAAAAGGAACAGAAAAUGGAAAGCUCUCCCCGUAGAAUUUAUUGUCAUCUUUCAGCUAUUAUAUGGGUUUCAUUAUGGAUUUCUAUUCCAAGGCGUUAUUCUUUGUUUUAUUUUCAAAAUGUGGCUCAUACUUUUAAAAUGGCUUUCUGGGAAACCUCCACAUUUGCAUGAAUUCAAAUGAAACUCCGUUCUCUGUUGUCAUCAUUCUGUUCAGCAGCUUGUUACAUAUUUUAUAGGGUUAGGAAGUGAUUAACAGUGGACUCCUCUACAGCAUUCCAUAAAACAACAAAAUCACCAGUAAGGAUCAGCAAAGUAAACAUCAGAGUGGUUUUAAGUAUUUGGUUUUAUCACUUUUAAAUGACAAGUUUUUUUAAAAUGCUAUGAUAUAGUUGAGGGUGUAGCUACAGCAACACCCCCCUGAGGACAGCCUGACAACUGGAUAGAUUCUGUGUAAAGAAUGCCCCUUAGUUACUUAGCUCUUCAACAUUCUCUUAUGAUCUCAACUGGAACAUCAAAUGUCCCUCUGCCUAUCAUCCCAAAUGGAGAGAGAAGAUGAUAAAGGGAAUUAAAAUGCUACAACUGCAAUAACCGCUAUAUAAAUAAAUCAAGCUGCUUUUUGGAAGAAGACAUUGGAAAAAG